rnacentral:rRNA from 1 species
CCUACGGGAGGCAGCAGUGAGGAAUAUUGGUCAAUGGCCGCAGGGCUGAACCAGCCAAGUCGCGUGAGGGAUGACGGUCCUAUGGAUUGUAAACCUCUUUUGUCAGGGAGCAAAGGGCGCCACGUGUGGCGCUUUGCGAGUACCUGAAGAAAAAGCAUCGGCUAACUCCGUGCCAGCAGCCGCGGUAAUACGGAGGAUGCGAGCGUUAUCCGGAUUUAUUGGGUUUAAAGGGUGCGCAGGCGGAAUGUCAAGUCAGCGGUAAAAUUUCGGGGCUCAACCCCGUCGUGCCGUUGAAACUGGCGUUCUUGAGUGAGCGAGAAGUAUGCGGAAUGCGUGGUGUAGCGGUAAAAUGCAUAGAUAUCACGCAGGACUCCGAUUGCGAAGGCAGCAUACCGGCGCUCAACUGACGCUCAUGCACGAAAGCGUGGGUAUCGAACAGGAUUAGAUACCCCUGUAGUC